UCUAUACCACAAUCAAGAUGAGACCUCUUCUGGAGACAGGUUUUCAGUUACAGAGGCCGGAACACCCUGGCACGGGCACCACAGAACCGGCCCGUGGCUAGGCCUCAGCGGACGGUUACGUCCGCCCCCACACCCUGUUUGUACUCUGCCACCUGCACCCAGACGGCACCACCUGCCCCCUGCCUCUCCCCCACCUCCCUGCAUCCCCUCCCCCCGCCGCCCCCUGCCAGCAACCCACCCCCAGUGCUUAGUUUCUAGGGUAGCAGCCAGUCUGCCCUCAUUUCCUUCCUGAACGUCUUGAAAAAAGGUUAUUAAUCGAGCGCUUUUGCAUGGUUGCUAUUUCUUGCAUCGGAUUAGGAUACAGCCUGUAAUACGUGCAGCGUUGAGGGGAUGCAAGUAGGAGAGCUGCACUACGUCUACAAGAAUGUUGACAGACAUAUUUUUUGCUAUGUCCCAUGGAUUUAUGGAUUUAUCCACCUUUAGAUGGGGCGUGCUUAGUUACAAAGAUAGGCGGGCAUCGCCCCUUCUCACAGGACUGUGGCUGAGGGAAUGUCAGAUUCAGCCAUUUGUUUGGCCACCCAAAGCUACUUUUUGGCACUGUGAGUUGUUGCUGAAGUAUUCAUAUUGUUAUAAAUGCUAACAAUUUUAUUAGUAAUAAUAAUAUCAAUAAUGGCUAAAAUUUAUGGAAAUAUAUGUUUUAUAUGGAACUGUAUUUUCUUCUAUAAUUCUCACACACACAAAAACCCCUUAUACUUAUUAUCUGUAUUUGUCAGAUGGGAAAUUGAGGCUUACAAAGUUUAAGUACGUUUCCCAAGGCUGUAAAUAUUAUGUUAUAUGCAAACAGUAGGUAAGGUUUUCAUGCUAAGUGUGAUGAGUUUUUGAGCAAAAGUUGGAUCGAAGUUAGGUCCUAUCAAUUCACCGUUUCUUGGCACCAUGAAAUGUUAACAAAUCUGAUGUUAAAGAAGUUCGGGGAAUGUUGCAUGCCACACCCCUUCCUGAAACUCACAAUGCACAAGAGCAUGGUAAUGACUCUAAGAUAUCCUGGAGAAAAGAAACUUGUUUAUUUUGCUGAGAAUUUCCCAGGUUUGGAAAAACAGUGGAAAGCCGCCAAGGACAGUUUUGAUUCUGUGUACCGUCCCAUUUCUUCAUAGGUAUUUUGAUUGGCCCAUGCUGAUUUGCCAUUGGAGCGAAGUUUUGCAAGAUCAUUUCGGAGCCUUUCAUUCUCGUGUUCCAGUUUGUUAAUAGACGUAUGCCUCGAAUGUUCCCUGUUAGUGAAGUCCAAACUCUAGAGAAUGAAAAAACCAUCACUGAAAAAACUGCUCCUUAUAAGGGAAUGCGUAUUUUCUGUGCACUUAGACAUGGCUGUCGUAAGCCCCUUUUAUCUGAGUCCAGGGACAUGGCUCUACCUUUGUGUGCCUCCUGAAGCCCUCUCCUGCCCUCACCUCCUCACAACAUGGACAUUCAGUGACAGCUGCCACCGAACGCUUCACAACGAGAGCAAUGCAUCCGCCACUGUCCGUGUUCACUUCUGCACUAGCGUUCUCUCUCUCUCUAGAACAGACUGGCUGGAUUUAAGGGUUUUCGUGUCUAGAGGGUAUGCCUUCCAGCAUUAAUAAUAGAACCAGAAUUAACACA